UACAGAGGGGGCAAGCGUUAUUCGGAAUUAUUGGGCGUAAAGGGCGCGUAGGCGGCUUGGCAAGUGGAUGGUGAAAUCCCUCGGCUUAACCGAGGAACUGCCGUCCAAACUGCUUAGCUUGAGACCGGGAGAGGUGAGUGGAAUUCCCAGUGUAGCGGUGAAAUGCGUAGAUAUUGGGAGGAACACCAGUGGCGAAGGCGGCUCACUGGACCGGUACUGACGCUGAGGUGCGAAAGCGUGGGGAGCAACAG
rnacentral:rRNA from 1 species